rnacentral:rRNA from 1 species
GUGGGUAGUUUGACUGGGGCGGUCUCCUCCUAAAGAGUAACGGAGGAGCACGAAGGUUAGCUAAUCCUGGUCGGACAUCAGGAGGUUAGUGCAAAGGCAUAAGCUAGCUUGACUGCGAGAGUGACGGCUCGAGCAGGUGCGAAAGCAGGUCUUAGUGAUCCGGUGGUUCUGAAUGGAAGGGCCAUCGCUCAACGGAUAAAAGGUACUCCGGGGAUAACAGGCUGAUACCGCCCAAGAGUUCAUAUCGACGGCGGUGUUUGGCACCUCGAUGUCGGCUCAUCACAUCCUGGGGCUGAAGUAGGUCCCAAGGGUAUGGCUGUUCGCCAUUUAAAGUGGUACGCGAGCUGGGUUUAGAACGUCGUGAGACAGUUCGGUCCCUAUCUGCCGUGGGCGCUGGAGAAUUGAGGGGGGCUGCUCCUAGUACGAGAGGACCGGAGUGGACGCAUCACUGGUGUUCGGGUUGUCAUGCCAAUGGCAUUGCCCGGUAGCUAAAUGCGGAAGAGAUAAGUGCUGAAAGCAUCUAAGCACGAAACUUGCCCCGAGAUGAGUUCUCCCUGAGACUAUAAGUCUCCUGAAGGAACGUUGAAGACGACGACGUUGAUAGGUCGGGUGUGUAAGCGUAGCGAUACAUUGAGCUAACCGAUACUAAUGAACCGUGAGGCUUAACCUU